CAGGAUGUUUAUACAACAAAAUGUAAACAUUUUCCCGGACCUUCUUUAAAUAAGAAAAUCAGGCAAAAGCCUGGUUAGAUCUGCUAAUACCACACAAACUAAUGAGAUAUGGCAAGAAAAAAACGCGCGUCGUCCUUACGGCAGGCUACAUGUUGGACUUUUUUCUCCCCCUCUCUCUUCUUUUACAAAUGUAUAUUGUUUGUGCAAUACAGUCAUAAUAUUUACGCAGGGACGCGGGAGGAGUGAGGUGGAGACUCAGCCGAGCUGGGAGCGCACAAACUCGGACGGAGGACUUGAGAUCGACUCCUGCAGGGGAGAGAAAUCACGGCGCGAUCCGGGAUCCGAGGCUCGAGUGGGCAGGCGUGCGGCUUUGGCCACAAGAAGCUGUGAAUUCUUCGGAGAAUGGAAGAUGUCUCACGGGGAGAUGUGCUGCACCCCCGCCACCCACACGCCACCCCAAGAUGACCCCUGACCCUUUCUCGUGUUUAUAUCAGGCCAUGGAAGUGACAAAUAGUGAUGAGUCACUCUUGCCGAGUGUUUACACUCCGGAGUCACGCAAGGAAGGAAAUCAGCCACGGUCUGCUAAAAGUGGCGAGGUGAGAGAGAGGAGCUGCUGUGAUUUACCUCUCAGAGUCGUUAUUUGUUUCACAUCACCUCUGCUGAGCAAAUGAUCUUCCAACAGAAAGCAGCAGAAAAAGCUGAGGAUUGUAGUCGAGGAAAGCAAAGACUGCUUGGGGCAGAGCAUGUAAUCGCUGCAGGGGUAGGUGUGCUUCUGUUUCCCAGCUUCAAACAAGCUCUUUUCAGAAACUUUGAUGGAAUCUGAAUAUUAGUUAAUGCAUUCUAUGAGAUUUUAUUAGAAAUGUUCACAUUCUAAUAUGUUUCUCUGAAUCAGGGAUCAGUUAAAAUUGUCUCGAUAAACAUUUUCUAUCUUUUGUAAACGACUCAUUCCAACUUAAACUACAGAUGGUUUGUAAACUUUUUAUAAAAUAAAAUUUAUGAAAAGUGGGAUGCAUUUGUAUUCAGACUUCUGACUCAGAACUCAAAACUACCUUUUUCUGAAAUUACAACUGCACAAUCUCAGUCAGAUUGGAUGGAGCCCUGUGUGACUAUCUCUUUUUAAAUCUUGCCACAAAUUCUCAAUUUGAUUGAAGUGUGACUUUGAGCUCUUGUGAUGCUGUUUGGAUUCGUUGUCCUGCUGUAAAGUGAACCUCUAUCCCAGUCAAAAGUCUUUGGUGGCCUCUUACUGCACAUUUAUCUCCAUCCAUCUUUCCAUCAACUCUCAGAAAUGUACACCUUUCUUGUGGAUAAAAGCAAAGUACGAAGCAAACCAUCAUUCUUCUUCGCAUGUUCAGGGUGACAGUUUCCCUCCACAAACUGCGUUGGCCUAAAACUGUCCUAACACUGCCAAAACUAAAGUCACGAGUGUUCAUAUCCAACACACAGGAAUGUGUUCUUUGAUUUUUACCAGUACAGUUAUUAUUAUUUUUUAUAAUCCUACCUUCCAUAGGUAUACAGUAAUUCAGCCAUUUCUCUGUUAUAAUUAGGUUUUGAUAAUAUUUAAAAUACAUACUAUGUAAAUGAAAAGCUAAAGUGUAUCAGCUGUACAUUUUUGAAAAGCUGUAUUUUCUCAAUUUUUGGUUAUAAUCUGCAUGUCAGUCAGGUUUGUAAUCAGUCAUUGUUAUCAAUUCACUGACUAAAAUUAAAGGUUUAGGUCUUGAUUGUUAAUAUGCAAAGAAAUUUGUGCACAAACCAAUCUAACAGUUUUAACGACACAUUGUUAGCGUUAUUUUCUUGCAUGUUAAAUACUGGGACAUUAGUUUAUUUUGAGGUGUUUGUAUGCUUAGAAUGAUAGAAUAAUAUAAUGUAAAUUACACUGUCAUAUAUGAUGAUGUACCUAAAUCAAAAGUGACACCUAACACCAAAGGGCUGCACAUCCCUGUGUUUACUGUGCCUUCCUCUGCUUUUUCAAACAUUAAGCGUCAUUGUUGUGCUGAAGGUUGAGUGACUUUACAGUACGGAUUGCACAGCUGUUGUUUUCCAGACGCGGCUUCACUUGGUGCUGUUGUGUCCUGUAAAAUUAAAGUGAUGCUUUUUACUCUUUCCAUCACCACUUUGGUGCGAGUAGCUUCGCUGCAGACUGCAGCCGGUGUCCUUUUACACACCAGCAUACACACCGCCACAAUGAGAGAGUGAAACCACUCUUAUUUUGGCCAAUCUCUCCUGAAUUGUAAGUCCUGUCAGGAGCCUUGAUUGAUUGUUGUGUUUAUCACCAUGUUAUUAAGAAAUCAGGCUCACCGCAGCCAGGCCUGAAGUUCCUUAAUUCCAACUUUGUGCUAAUUAAAGGUUUGCUGCACAGGUUUAGUUUUCUCAUUUUCUUUUCUUUAAAUAUAGACGUCUUUUUUUUUUUUUAAGCGAGCAUAUUGUUGCAUUUUUUGCACUGCCUGGACCAUCUAGUACCAAGUGCAGUGUGGUAGUCUGUGGUACAAACAGAAAAUCCUCAUUUUUACACUGCAUAGUUAAUGAGUUCAUGCCUGUAGAUCAGCAGAGAUCCAGACUCGCGUUGUUAAUAGAGCUGGCAGCAGGCUGCGUUUGUGUAUCUCUGAGGUAAACACAGUUAUGGCAAAGUGGACUCUCUGCUCAGUGUGUCCUGAACGGAGACACAGAGCGCUAUGGCACUGUACUUUUUGUCGCACUGGCGGCUCUUUAGACAUGGGGUUAAUGUGAUGAAUGGCCAUUUGGUAAUGGGCCAUGUAUUAGGCUGAAACGACUCUUUUAAAAGCCACAGUUUGAGCCUUCGCCAUGGGCAGUUUGGAUCAGCAAUCACUCAGGUGGCAGAUGUUUGGUGUUGGACUGAGCAACUCUACCCUGCUUUCUGUCUUUUCGACUUCCUCAACUAAAAACAGGCAUAAUGCCGUCUAAAGCAGCAAAAUUGUGAAAACAAAACAAAACGCAUAUUUGUGCAAAUGACAAAUGAUUUUCAUAUGUGAAGAUCAUUUUUUUUAAAUCUAAUAUUGUGGUGUGCAUUUGUAUUCAACCCAUUUUAAUUUUUUUGGCCCCCUAAAAAACCCAGUGCACAUCAGGAAACACCUAAUUAGUAAAUGUUCAAUCUGUAUGUAAUUGAAUCUCUGAAUUAAUCCAGCUGUUCUGCAAAGGCCUCAGAGGUUUGGAAAUCCUGGAAAAGUUAAAGGUGUUAGUUAAAGGAGCUGCAGAGAUCCAAGUAAAUCUGUUGACAGGAACACUGCAGCUGAAGCACUUCACACACCUGGCCUCCCUGGAAGAGUGACGCUGAACUGUUAAAGCAAAGCCAAAUGAGGUUUCAUUUACAGUAUCCCAUAAACCAUGGAGGGGACACAGAAAACGAAACCAAUCGUUUUGGCCAACAUGCAAAAGACUGUGUGGAGGGAAAAUAAUACAUGUCGCAACCCCAUGAAAUAUGGUCGUGGCAGCAUCAUGCUGAGGGGACACUUUUCUUCUUAGGACUGUGAAGCUGGUCUGAGUUAAAGUAAAGGUAAAUGGAGAUAAAUACAGGCUAAAGUAGAGACUGGAGUGGAGGUUUAUCUUUCAGCAGGACAACAACCGUAAACACAGCUAGUGUCUUCGGCCAGUCUAGAGUAAGGGUCCUCAACCUGCGGCUCCAGAGCCGCAAGUAGCUCUUUGGACCUUCCACAAUGGUUAUUUAAAACUUUAGCAAAAAAAAAAAAAGAUUAGUAACUAAUGUUUCUAAAUACUCAUAUAUUAACAAAUGCAUGUUUCAGUAGUUUUUCCAGUUUUUUCAUGGAAUAAUUGCAUUGAAAUUCUACAACAGAAUGGAACUAAAAGUCACAUUCUUUUUGUCAUUGACUAGGAAACUAUUAUUUUACAUAGCUGUAUAACAUCCAAUAGAAAAAACAGUUUUCAAGUUUGAAUUUGCUUUAAAGUCUAAAAAUAGAAAUAGCAUUGUGGUUCUUUAAUAAUAACAUCAGAUUUUCCAUAGUAAAUAUUUAUCAAAAUAUUUUCAAAACUUUAUUUAACAUUUGCUGCUCUAAACAAGUUUUAUCUAGCUGGGCAAAGGGCAAAAAUUGCUCUUUGAAUUGUUAGGGUUGCACACCCCCGGCCUGGAACAACAUUUCUUGUAAAACAUUUUAUAAGACCCGUAAAUCAAUGUUCACAGCUGCUCUCCAUCCAGUCUGGUUGAACUUAAGCUAUUUUACAAAUAAGAAUUGAUUAAAAAUCUGUCUCCAGAGGAACAAAGCUAAAGAAGAUAUUCCCAGCUGUAUGGCAGCUGUAACUCCAGCUAACGCUGUUCCUACACAGUGUUGAGUCAGAAAAGCUAAAUACAAAUGCAGACCAAUAGUUCACAGUUUUAUUUGUAAAAUAAAUAUAUUCAAGCCAUGUAUAAUUUUCAUCCACUUUACCAUAAUGCAGUACUGUGUCACAAGAAAUCCCAAUAAAAUACACUGAAGUUUGUCUCUAAUCCAAUCAUGAAAUAUGUCAAAUAAGUAUUAUUACUUUUUAAGGUUCUGUAAAUGUGUGUACCGUUAUUUAUGAGAGUUUCUUCUACAGCCAUUCUUGCUGCUCAUUCCUGUAUUGCAAUUUUUUGACUUCUGUUUUUAUAUCACUGACUUUGCCUUUAAUGAAACUAUGAAAUGUUAUGAACAUGUUUACAAUAAACUUUCACAAAUCAA